UUUGUACUCCCUCUGUCCCAAAAUUCUUGUCUUAAAUUUGUCUAAAUAUGGAUGUAUCUAGUUACAUUUUAGUGUUAGAUACAUCCGUAUCUAAACAAAUGUAAGACAAGAAUUUUGGGACGGAGGGAAUACUAC
rnacentral:pre_miRNA from 1 species